rnacentral:lncRNA from 1 species
GUGACGUUGUUUGGGUCCUUAGAUCCAGCUGCGCCUUAAGCCAGACUUAUCCAAGGAUUUUUCAGAAAGGUUGGGGAGUUGACUCAAAUCCCAUUCGCCAGAAAUUACAGCAGAGAAAGGAGAAAAUAAGCUAUUGAGAAAAGAGGAGCUAUUAGUAAUCUCUACUUGGACACAAUUGGAGGUCUUUUGGGUUAAUCUCACAGCCACUGACAGCCCAGAAGCUUGGACCUCAUCCAGUGAUUCUGUCACACGAUCAUGACUCCCUCUGCUGGCAGAACCUGGUUUUGCAGUGUAAACUCAAAUCCUGAAUUACCUGCUUUGGAAAAUUUGCCGGCUCGGGGAUGACUAAAGAGCUAACUGUGUCUUCUUGGUAUAAUCUCAACCUGACUGUUACUGGGACCAUACUGGAAGAAGAUGCUGGUAUGGGAAUCCCCUGGGAGAGCAGAACUUUCAUUGUUGAAGAAAAUGCAGCAAAGGGAGCUUCUUCCUCUCACCAAGCCAACAGUGGAUGGCCCUGGCCCCUUAUGAGACUGUCAUUCAAAUCAGGACUGCAAAGCAACUGUUCUGCCAUUUCCAUGGCAAGCUCUCCCCGGCAGAGGGGAAAGACCACCAGGGUUGCAGGUUUGGCGUCUGAAGACAGACUAUGCCACUUAAUGGCUGGGUUUCCCUCUCUAGUCACUUAAUCAGCCUGAAGCUUGGAGUCCUCCUUACAAUAUGGGGAUAUUAAUAUUUUCCCCUUUCUUGGGGUUGAUGUGCGGAUCAAGUGAGUAAUAUAUGUGAUAAUACUGUAUUAACUGUAAAUCAUUCUACAAAUGUAAGGGUUUAUUACUGUCA